rnacentral:rRNA from 1 species
AGAAUCAACGCUGGCGGCGUGCCUAACACAUGCAAGUCGAACGAGAAAGUGGGAGCAAUCCCAUGAGUAAAGUGGCGCACGGGUGAGUAACACGUGACUAACCUACCCUUGAGUGGGGGAUAACCUAGGGAAACCUGGGCUAAUACCGCAUAAUACCUACGGGUCAAAGGAGCAAUUCGCUUUAGGAGGGGGUCGCGGCAGAUUAGUUAGUUGGCGGGGUAAUGGCCCACCAAGACAGUGAUCUGUAUCCGGCCUGAGAGGGCGCACGGACACACUGGAACUGAAACACGGUCCAGACUCCUACGGGAGGCAGCAGUGGGAAUUUUGCGCAAUGGGGGAAACCCUGACGCAGCAACGCCGCGUGGAGGAUGAAGCCCCUUGGGGCGUAAACUCCUUUCGAUCGGGAAGAUAAUGACGGUACGGAAGAAGAAGCCCGGCUAACUUCGUGCCAGCAGCCGC